rnacentral:lncRNA from 1 species
CGGCGUUAGUGGAUCCCGGAGGGCCUCACCUCGGCCUCACCCCCCCCACACACAUCCCGUGCUUCCACCCCGAAGCCUUCCCCGGCCCCUUCUUCUUCUCUCCCCCCUCCCUUACCGGCCUUCCCCCCUCGGGCCCCCGCAGCGUCUCCAUAAGGCCGGAGCGGAGCCGGGCGGCGGCCGCCGCCGCUGCCUGCUGCUUUAUACCGGGGCCCCGGGAGAGCUGCGCCAAGGCGGAAGGGCAGAACGGGCCGGGGCGGAGCGGAGGCCGCUUCCCGGUCCGCCCCGAGCCCCGCCCGGCCUCAGCCCCGGGGAGAGGCCGGGAGGCGGCGGGGCAGGGCCAGGCCCGGGGCUCGCGGCCUCCCCCGGGGCCUCGCCGAGCCCCCGGGCCCCGCUGAGGAGAGGCCGGGCCCGGCCCCGUCCCCACCGCUUCGCCCCGGCCCCUUUCUGGGCCCUUUGGUCCCUUUCCAGCCCCCUCGCGGGAUGAGCCCCGCUGGAUGUAGAGCCAGCUCUUUUUUUUUUUUUUCCUGCAAACACCUGGUUUUUAUGCAAAUCGUGUUGCAAUAAAGGCAGAUUUGCCCCGACAAGUGCGCUCGUUAGGGAAAUUCAUUCAUCUGCUUCCUGGUCUGCUGCUUGCCUUUACUCUCCAUUUCACGAUCUGCUGCACUUUCACCUGGCUGGUUCGGGGUUGCGAGUGGAGCAGGAGACCCGGCAAAACCCCGGCUUAGCACACGGGGUAAAACCCCGCAUCAAAGAGGUCGAUGUGGUAGAGCAGCUGGUUUCUCAGAUGGCUUUCCAGCUUGUCCUUGGCUGCUGCUGUCCUGAGGUGAAAACCAUUAAAAGGUGUGCUGCAGAAGGACCCCAGCCCUGGCUCUUUCCUCCUUCCUCCCACCAGCUCAGCACCCAGCAUCACCUUGUACAGCCUAAAUCAGCAGCAAUGACCUCAGAUUCACCGAAGUGGCGUAUCUCCUGUGAAGGCCACGAGUCCAGGUGUGGGAAACUGGGUCUGAAGUCCCCGAAGGAACACCUCUGUGUGGCUGUGUUUGCAGGAGACCUCCCCUCCUGCUUCACACCAUGAUGAGCAUCCCACCACGCUGAGCAUCCCCAGCGCAGGCCAGUCCCAGCACUGCCACCACAAAUGGGCAGUGGGUGGCACAGCAUCGGUGCUGAGACCCCCCCAGCUCCGCAUAGCACAGGGCUGCAAACUAUCAGUCCAUUUAACGUGACAAUAAAAAAAUCCCUGCUAAUAACCA